rnacentral:rRNA from 1 species
CCUACGGGAGGCAGCAGUGAGGAAUAUUGGUCAAUGGACGAGAGUCUGAACCAGCCAAGUAGCGUGAAGGAUGACUGCCCUAUGGGUUGUAAACUUCUUUUAUAUGGGAAUAAAAUGUUCCACGUGUGGGAUUUUGUAUGUACCAUAUGAAUAAGGAUCGGCUAACUCCGUGCCAGCAGCCGCGGUAAUACGGAGGAUCCGAGCGUUAUCCGGAUUUAUUGGGUUUAAAGGGAGCGUAGGUGGAUUGUUAAGUCAGUUGUGAAAGUUUGCGGCUCAACCGUAAAAUUGCAGUUGAAACUGGCAGUCUUGAGUGCAGGAGAGGUGGGCGGAAUUCGUGGUGUAGCGGUGAAAUGCUUAGAUAUCACGAAGAACUCCGAUUGCGAAGGCAGUUCACUGGACUGCAACUGACACUGAGGCUCGAAAGUGUGGGUAUCAAACAGGAUUAGAUACCCCUGUAGUC